rnacentral:lncRNA from 1 species
AUGCAGGGAACUAACCAAACAGCAAGGCCUAAAUCUGACACGUGUCAAUCCGCACCCCACGUGGCAUUACCAGAAUUUGCAGUGUGCCACCUAUAUGUAACUGAUAAGGGUUCUUCCUUCUCUUAUAUAUCCUCUACUUCUCUUUCACUGAAAGUAAAUCUAAUUCUCUCGGUCCACAUUAUCCUUAGCACAAGCAUAAGAUCCUCAACCAAAUUUAGCACAACUGGUCUCAUCAUCUUCAUCAUCAUGGGUUCAGAAACGUUUCUAGAAGUGAUAUUGGCAAUUAUCCUGCCACCUGUUGGGGUCUUCCUCCGCUAUGGCUGUGGAGUAAAUUCUUUUACCCUAAUGCCCAAAUGCCAUUCUAUUUCUGUUCUUUUUUGAGUUUUGAGUUUGAUUUAAUUGUUAAAUCAUAUUGUGGAAAAUGCAGGUGGAGUUCUGGAUUUGUUUGUUGCUGACACUGUUGGGAUAUAUUCCGGGAAUUAUAUAUGCGUUAUAUGUACUGGUCGGAUGAUCAAGGUUUUCUGGAGGUGAAAGAAUAAUAAUAUGGCAAACGACAUGUGUGGUGUGGAUUAGUUUGGUUAAUGUCACUUUGACUUUGUAAUUCAGGAUCAUAAUAUAGUUUUCUUAUAAAUUUUCCUUGUGUGCUCUGUUCUUGUUCUUUAUUUUUUUGAUGAAGCAAGCAAUUGCACACUGUAAUUACAUUCACUUAAUGCUAAUUGACACUAAUGUAGAAAGUGGAA